UACGUAGGGUGCGAGCGUUGUCCGGAAUUAUUGGGCGUAAAGAGCUCGUAGGCGGUCUGUCGCGUCGGUCGUGAAAACCUGCAGCUUAACUGUGGGCUUGCGGUCGAUACGGGCAUGACUGGAGUUCGGCAGGGGAGACUGGAAUUCCUGGUGUAGCGGUGAAAUGCGCAGAUAUCAGGAAGAACACCCGUGGCGAAGGCGGCUCUCUGGGACGGUACUGGACGCUGAGACGCGAAAGCGUGGGGAGCGAACAGG
rnacentral:rRNA from 1 species